UUAAUGGAGAGUUUGAUCCUGGCUCAGGACGAACGCUGGCGGCGUGCCUAAUACAUGCAAGUCGAGCGGGGUUGUGUAGAAGCUUGCUUCUACACAACCUAGCGGCGGACGGGUGAGUAACACGUAGGCAACCUGCCCACAAGACAGGGAUAACUACCGGAAACGGUAGCUAAUACCCGAUAUAUCCUUUUCCUGCAUGGGAGAAGGAGGAAAGACGGAGCAAUCUGUCACUUGUGGAUGGGCCUGCGGCGCAUUAGCUAGUUGGUGGGGUAAAGGCCUACCAAGGCGACGAUGCGUAGCCGACCUGAGA
rnacentral:rRNA from 1 species